rnacentral:lncRNA from 1 species
UUGCAACUACUUAGAUUUCACCCAACAAUUUCCAGGUAAGGGAGGUGAAUCACUAGGAUUACUUAAGUACCAAGCCUUGUCCUUGCCAAAAUUGUUCUAGGCUACUUACUUAGUUGUUGUUACUCAAAGAUGACUUUUAUGAUCACAAAAGAUGACUCAAAUAAUCAAAGAAAAUGCUAGGACUCUAAUGUCGGACUCUAAGGUUUCCUAACGUAAAUUCAAAAACUUAAAAGAAAUGUAAAUGGAAAAGUGAGGUCUCCUAGGUGAGGAUUGGAACUUUGGAACCAAGACACACUCACCGUCUACCAAUUUUUAGAUUAAUCGGUCCAAUCGGUGUUUCCCUGUUCGAUUUAGGGUUUUCCCUUCAUUUAGGGUUUCCGUGAGUUCUACCUUGCAUUCGGUCNGAUUAGGUUCUAGAUCGUUUUCUCCUUCGAAUAUAAUCCAUUCCGCUNCGUCAUUCAUCGUCGAAGAAGCUUCGAGGAGUCCGCAUCAUCUCUCGGUCAAUCUCCUUCGAGGCUNUCCCGUAUCAAGUGGUAUUCAGAGCUCGGUUCGAGCACGCGUCAACAGCUAAGUAUCUCUGAUUUUUGUUUUCAUUGUUUCUCGUUUUUUUGUUUCAGUUUGAUUCGGUUUUGUCGAGUUCAUUAUGAUUCUGAGUUUCUGUGUUGUUUUGAUUCUCGUUUCUGUCUCUGUUUCAUUUUGUUUUGUCUGAAGUUCAUAUGAUUUUGAUUCGCGUUUUUGUCUCGGUUUGAUCUUGAUUCCAUGUAUCUUGUACUGUUUCUUUCCAUUUACNCGUUGUCAUUAUCUUCUUUGAAUGUCUUGAUUUGUUUGUGUUGUAUUCUCUGAAUGAGAUUCAAUGUGUUUGUGUUUUGAAUAUNUCCUCAUAUCUGUUUAGGUUUCCGAGUUGUGUUGUCCUGUGUUUUGAGUCCUUUCCAUCAUUUUAUUCGGUCAAAUUGUUUUGUUUGAGUCUUUAUUUCUGAUAAUCUGCAUUCUGGUUUUGUUAUGAGUUUUGUGCAUUGAUUUAAUCGGUGCUUUGCUUAAAUUGUCAAUCAAAUCUGAGUUUAACUAGUUGUUGCUCGUAUUUUGUGAUUCAUUUGAGUUUCCUGCACUGAGUAAGUUCUGUACACCAUAUAUAAGCUAUGACAUUUGGAUAAAUGAGCUUAGUGGCAGAUUUCAGUGGUAGUGAUAAUGAAUCUCCUGUUCGUGAAUCUGUUUUGAUCUUUGCAACAAUACAAUCAGUUUUAAUUUUGUUUGAUUGAAGUCUGGUUAUGAAGUUGAGCUACUGUCCAACAGCAAGUGCAUACUGCAAAGAUCAAUGAAAGGCAUAGCCUAGAUCAAUUGCACAUUGUGAAAACAGUUUAGCAUAUUCUGCAGUUGACCGAUCUGCACAUUCAUUGUGAGUCCUGUUCUUUAGUGUUUUAAAUCUGGUUUGAACAUCUUACUCUUUGCAAACCAUCCAGUAUGUAUCUCUGCUAUUUUGAGCAACUUUCAUUUGUUGUUUUGAGUCCUGUGAUUUGUUCACAUGUUGUUUCCAUAUCUGAGUCAAAUUUUGGUUGGUUAACCUGCUUACAUUGAGUAAUUUGGGGGCUGACUAAGUGAAAAUNUGAGAUAGUGUGUUUCUGCAUCAAGUUGUUUUACAAACAAGUUUGUUUUAGUGAUUUGAAACUGAUGAUGCAAGGAAACCACGAAUUAUAACUGCCCAACCAUUUUAACUNUUUACACCACCAAAUUUUUGGCAGUUUUUUUCAUUAACAAGUUGCUGGUUUGAUUGAUUACAUCUNAGGUCUGUGUGGUGCAUCUACAUUUGUGUAAACUUGCAGCAAAAGCUUGGUUCCUGUGUGAUAUCUUAAAUACACAAUUCAAAAGCAACAUUUCAGUCAUUUAAAAAAAAAAAGAAAAAGAAAAGAAGCUGAAAGACCAGUGCAAGUUCAAAUUUGAAAACUGAUGCAACCUAGACUAACUUUUCUUAAACAUCUCAGCAACUUCUUAUUGUCUUUUUAUUGCUUUUAAUUCUGUUCUAGUGCCAAUCAUAGGAUCUGUUUGAGUGCCUCCUUUCUUGAAAGCUUUGUUUCUUGCUUGUUUUAAUUGAUAACUCUGGUUUUGCCCAUUACAAGUGCAAUCUUUUCUGCUGUUCUUAAUUGAGCUUUCUUUGCUUUUGUAAUCUGGUCUAGUGUUCUUUUGAGUCUGUUGUUCUGUGGUGCUGUCAUUUCUAUGCUUUAGUAGCUGUCCUGUUUGGUAGUGUCCAUUAUCUUGAUCUUUGCCUAGACAUUUCCUUUCAAUGACUGAGAAACACUUUCACUCUGGUUUCUGGAAAAUUUGAGAAAGGUAUUUGUGAAUGGUAGCAUCCUAGGUGGUGGAGAUCCACAGGAUUAUCUGGUCUUGACUGAAAAUUGUUCCCAAACCUACCCUUGAGUGUGUUAGAGAGUACCUUGAGUUGUGAGUCUUGUAAGGCUGCAUUAGCCUAAUUUCCUUGGCAAAUUUGUGAGCGAAAAUUGGCCUUCAGUUAACUGUUGCUAACUAUUUUAUGACUGAUCAUUAUGCAGGAAAUUGAAGGAGCAAACAAUUGUGAUUGUUUGAAACUGCCACAUGCAGAUUUCCGUUAUUUUCGAGAAAUUGAUUGAUUGUACUAGCUGAAUUGUUCUGUUUUGCUUGUGAAAAUUGUUACUGCACACACUGUUGCAUUCAUCUUAUAAUCUAUUUUCUGACUCAUUGAUCUAAUCCCUGUUUUGAAAAUGAAUGGUGAUUUCAUGGUUUAAUUAGACAUGUGGAAUGCUGAAUCUUGAGUUAAUAAGAUCUGUUUGAACCUGGUAGAUACAUUAGGAAUUGCUAAUAAUGUGCUGAUUGUUUUAUGAGCAUUUCUGGAAUUGCAUCAACUUGAUCUAACUUCCCAUGAUUAAUUUUUACGUUGAGUCACAUCCAAUCUGAGAUCUAUUUCACUGUCCAUUGUACUUGCUGGAUUAUGUUUUGACUUGUAUGAAGAAUUGAUUUUCCUGGAAUUGUUGAUUAAAUCAGUCUGGUUCAGUUUUGAGUUGCCCCUAUUUGCAUCUGGUUUAAUAUUUGUGUUCAUGAGCAUCUUUUACUAGCAUUGGUGUAUUUUAUGUGCAGAGUUGGACUAUUUGGAAUCAAUACUUUCUCGAGUAUACCACAACAACGACACUUCAGUUUAGAGCUUGGAGCAAGCCUGAACAACCAUUUAAUUAGGGGAGUUGCUUAGUUUUCUUACCUCUGGAUUGUUUAAUUGUUUCUGUCUUAGCUUGAAAUUGAUAGCAUUGAUGGUUGCUCUGCUGAAAUGAGUGUGAAUAUCUGAUUGCUGAUUCAUUAAUAUACCCAUGGUUUUUGAACGGAAGUGUUGUUUUCAUGGUUUAAUUGGGCAUGUUGAAUGUUGAAUCUGAUUUGAAAAGCUGACCAACCAGUUUAUUAUUACACAUUCCAUUUUAUCACUGGUUUGGUAUUUUGAUCUGCACCAUCAGUCUGAUAUUAUAUGUAUGCCGAAUUGGAUUUGCUAAGACCUAUUGGAACUUGGUAAAUGAGUUAUGAAUUUGCAGAUACUGUGUUGAUUAGUUUGUAAGCAUUUCUGGAUUGCAUUAACACUGUUUCACUGCCAACAUUUCAUUCAGUCUUACAACAGUGACUAAAGCAUUUCAUUUCCAAUUUUUAAUUUCAUGAUUGAAUGAUUUAGAUCACUAGAGUCUGUACUGCAUCAUAUCAUUCUUGUCUUUGGAUAGACCAAUUUAGACCAUGAAUUUUGAUUAGUUUGAAUUGAUGAUUGAACCAGUUCAGUCUGUGUUGAGAAUUAUCUAUAAAUUGAAUCUGGGUCAAUGUCCGUUAACAUUCAUAGUUGAUGAAUUUUGGUGUGAUUACUGUGUACAACAGUGUUUUGUUUUGAAUCAUUAGACAACAUUAGAACAUGGCAGAAUCUUGGAUGUUAGUGUAUCAAUUACAAGAAAACAACAGCAUGAGCACUUUUUGUGGAAGUUCUGACCUGAAGAAUUUAUUUGCUGAAUCAUCCGUGUAGCAGUAGGACCAGGACAACAGCAACAUCUGUAGCAGUGGCAAGCUUGUGCAGUUACGAGAAAGGGAAGUUUACUGCCCUAUAUCUUCUUCUGCCAUCUGUUUUCAUUAAGUGAAUCCUCACAGCAAUUUUGUACAUACGUGUUUGUAGGCUUGAUCCGAAGCUAAUACCAAGUUAUCCAUCCAGCAACAACAAACUGACGCAGCAGAUUGAGACAAGUGACUGUUUCAACUAUUUUGAACAGAGAUUUGAUCAAGAGACAAUCAAAAGUGGAGCACGUGAAGGUGGGCAGCAAAAGACCGUAGCACUAUAGCAUAGGAUUCAGUUCUUUUGUAUUUUUUUUUUCCUUGUAUUUUUCAUGGGCUUGUGUUUAGUCCACUGUUAGUCUUAGCUUGUGUUUGUAAAUGGCCUUUUAUAAAGUCCAAGUAUUUGGAAGAGUCCUUGGUGCUCUUUCCAAAUCUUGGCAACUUUAAUUGCUUUAAUUUUAGCAUAGCUAGACAUAGGAGUAGAAUUUGAUUGUCUUGCAUGUGUGUGAUUUUCACGUGUAGGUGUGACCUUGUCACAUUAGAGUCCGAAAACGUUUUAGGGUUUUAAAGUCCGAUUGUCUUUGUUUGUGUGUACUUUGAUUUUAAAAGUAAUUUUACUUUAAAGGGUAUUUAGUGAGUAGCACAAAACAAAUCUGGCAAGGCAAAGACUUGGUACUUAAGCAACCCUAGUGGUUCACCUCUCUUACCUGGGAUUUGUCAAGUGUGAAAUCUUUAAAUCCUUUAGAUUAGAAGAACUUUUAAGAACAAAAAUGUCUUGUUAUUCAUAUAGUUCCUCUAGUUCAUUUAGUUCAUCUAGGAACUUUAAUUUUGAUAAGCCCAUUAGUCUUAAAGAAUGAUAAAGCUAGAAGGAAGACUUGUUCAUCUCAUGAGUUUGAUAGGAUUAAGGAUACUUUGUAUAAACAAGCUAGGGAAAAUAUUCCUUUCUUUGGUGAGGAUAUUGGUGCAUAUACUUAGCUUGGGAAAAGGAAAUUGAUGACAUGCAUUUUUUUAUGGUUAGAAGAAGUCAAUCUGACUCUUAUUAUUCUCGUGACUGUGAAUCAUAUAUCAUGAAUCUUUACAUUUCUAGAUUUGAAGGGUAUGCAAGAGAGUGGUGGGACGAGAGAGAAUAUCAUGUUACCAUAGGUAGAAAAUCUCCCAUCAAUGAUUGGAAUGAAUUGAAAGGUUGUUUGAGAAAAAAAUUUGUGCCUCUAGAGAUUCAAAGAAAUUUACAACUUAUGAGAGAGUUUAUUAAAGGAGGCAAGUCAUUCAUUCAAAAUUUAAGUGGAUUCUAUCAAAGGGAAACAGAGUUUAGAGACAAUAUAGGUAUAUAGGUAUGGGACUAUACAGUUGAAGGAUAUCUUAAAGGAAUUGAUUUGGCUACCCAUAUCACCAAAAUGCAUUUACUUUUCGGAAGCCUAACCCAUAAGAACUCCAUGGUUAAGCGUGCUUAGCCUGGAGAAAUUCUGGGACGNGUGACCUUCCGGGAAGUUUUCCCGGAAAGUGUGCGAGUGAGGACAAAGCACACUGGAAAGUCUCAUGGUGAUGUGUGGGGGCAGUCAACAGUCCCUGUAAGUUGCCGGGGUGUGACAGAAGGAGUUUUGUAGGAUUGGGUAUUAUAUUGGAAGGCGCAAAAUUGAUGUCCAGAUCGUAUACAAAUCUUUUAGAUUUGGCCUCUGGGAAUUUCUCGACAAUGGGGAAGGCGCAAAGAUGAUGUCCAGAUCGUGUACGCUGUUUGUUCUUCACCUUGACACCCCAAUUUAUGAAGCUUGCACCAGGAAGUUUAAUCCUAAAUCGCGAUUUUUCUUCUAACCCUAACCCCAAUUUUUUUUAACCUCUCUUUCUCACAGUACACAUCAAUAAUAACAUUUUAAUUUUAUUUUCACACAUCAAUAAAGUUGAAACUGCCACACAAUCAAUUAAAACUAACAUGUCAUUAAUCUUAGUCCAGGAGGGCAACUCUAACGUUAAAUUUUUAGCAGUGUUAGCCAAAAGGAUUAACUUUGACAGUUUUUUCAAAAAGUGGGAUGAAUUGUUACUUUUUAAAAAAAGUAGGACGAUUUUGAACAAAACCCCUCUUUCGAAGGACCAAAAUAGGUAUUAAGCCGAUAGAGAAAAGGUAAAUGCAUAUCAAUGUAAAAAAGAAAAAAAAAAUAAAAAAAAGGUAAAAUAGUGAGGUUCAGGCACCUGUGUUAUGCAAUUAUUAUUAUGUUACAUUGUGUGUUGAAUCUAUUGGAGAAAGAAAGAGACUAUGGUGUCUUUCUAUGAACUGCGCACGGUAACGGCUUCUCACGGCAAGGGAAAAAAGGUUUUUGUUUUAUUUUAAUUUUCCUCGAAAUCGGUUCUGCUGCCACCAAACUUCCAUUUUAACUCCGGAAAUGGUCAUGAGGAGCACCAGAUCGGAGAAGGGAGAAUCGUUGGACGGUGAGAUCGGAUGGAGAGGUUGUGACAGUGAAAGACUAGUCGGGGAGCAUUGUCGAGAUCCUUGCGCCGAUGCUUAGGAGGCGGAGACUGGACGGGGAGAGAGGGAGCGACGUGAGGUGGAAGUGGAGCUGGCAGACGUGGCAUCGCCGUCUGCCACAUCAAUAGAAAAGUUAACUCCAUUUAUUUUUAAAAAUUAAUAUUACAUGUUUCAAUAUUACAAGGACUAAAUGCUAUCAAUGUUUUAAAUAAAGACUAAAAGUAAAAUCCUAUGAUACUUAAGGGAUAAAAUACAUAUUUAACCCAUAAAUAUAAGAUUACUUAAAUUUAAGUUACCUCAACUAAUUUAAUAAUUGACAUUUAUUUAAUUCUUAAUUAACCUUGGUAUAAGAGUCGUUCUUUAAAAUUAGGAAAAGACACGUAACAUUAUUAGCAUGAUUCUUUAAAUGGCAAGGGUAUCAAUUACACAAUAACAAGUAGUAAUUAAUUAUCAUAAAUGCUAGUGCAGUUUUGCAUUUUGACAUCAUCUUGUAUUUUUUGGUUUUCAGAAAACUGAAACAUAUAAAAACACAAUGACAAUUUUAAAACUUUUGUGAAUUUAUAGGUUUUUCUUAAUUCUAGGUGUCUAAUGCAUUGUUUCUAUAUCUUUGUUCAGUUUUCUUAAUUUUCCACUUAAUACUCGAAACAUUUGAAAGCCCAGUUAUAAUUAGUUUCGCACUCCUAGGUUCAUAAUUUUUUUUUUAAUUUUUGUUAUACAUGUUUUUAAUAUAUUUUGUAUAUUUAUAUUAAAGUAUUUUUUUAUGUGUAAUGUAUUUCUUUUUUAUGUUUGAUAUAUGUUGCAUCGUUUAUUUUUUUUAUAAUUUGUAAUAUACUUAUAUUUUGUUUAUCCCAUAUUGUUAUUCAGUUAAUUUUAAUUUUUCAUUUGAUAUUUAAAUUCCAAGUUUUACGAAAAAAUGGAAUUUUAUAAAGACACGUACACACAUGACUUGUCACAUUUUGGACAAGUUAUUAUGAGUUGAAACUCCAUUAAUAAGUAGUUGUUUUCUUGAAAAGUUUAAAGUGGAUGGUAAAGUUUAAAUAUUAUAAAGUUGUCCAAAAAUAUCAGUGUCUCUCACAUUAUUUUAUGGAUAAUGUUUCUUUAACGAUGUUCAUUUAACAACAAAUUGAUAACGACAUGUGUCGUUCUGUCAUUUGUUGUUUUAAAUAAUUUUUUCAAAAAGAUAAAAUGAGUUUUUGAGGGUACUUUUGAAAAGUAAAAAGCUCUGUUGGCACUUUCACCAUUUUUUUCAUUCGAAACUCUCUCUCAUCAGUUUCGUCAUUCUCAACUCUCACUCCAUCAUUUUCAACUCUCGCUCCACCAUUCGAAACUCUCGUUCCACUAUUCUCAACUCUCGCUCCACCAUUCGAAACUUUCGUUCUACCAUUCAAAACUCUCGCUCCACCAUUCGAAACUCUCGCUCUAUUCGAAACACUCGCUCCGCCACCGAGGUCGUCUUUCUUCAUCGUUGUUCGUUGGUGCUUGGGUCCACCUAUUCUCUGGAAGAAGUCGUUUGUCUUUGUCCGCCAUUGAAAUGCUAGGAGGAAGUCUCGCUUGGGGCCACCAAUGACGUCUUUUGGAUUAAUAUAGCAUUAGAAAUGUUUUGUUUGUUUUGAUUCUGAUUUUAUACCAAGUGAAUAGACAUUGUAUACAAGUAUAAUGUUGAAAAUUUUUACACAUUUGUACAUAAUUAUAGCAAAUCAAUACACCUAAACUAUUUUUGAUUAAUUCUUCUUGAAAUUCGUUUUCUUUCUUUGUGUUUUUGGUUGAGUGAGUUUAUUCAUUAUGGGUCAAAUUUGAUGUGCCCCUGUACUGAUGAGGAGUUGGACUGGUAAUCGCUUACCUCCCUUUCCAGAAAAAAAAAUUGGCAUUUUGUACCAAAACUUGAGGGUUGCUACCUAGUCCUGGUUGAAGAGCUCCCAAUGAGACCUUAAGCGUGUUAUUUAAUACAAGUCUUGUUGUGAGGAAGAGUCAGAAUGACACUUAUGUGCCUGUGUAAUCGAUUACAGAGUGGUUGUAAUCGAUUACCAGUGGAAAAACAGAAAUUUGUACCAAAAGUUCAACGUUGCUCCCAUGCUUUGGUAGAGGCGCUCCCAAGUGCGUGUUUGGUCCUAAGUUGGUGAGAUUUUUUGAAGGAUGUUGAGUUAAAAGGUUGAUUUUCAUGACCAAUGACCUGUUGCAUUAGUAUAGACAUGGUUGGUUAGUAUUUCAUACAAGUGUUGCUGUGAGGAAGAGUCAGAGUGACACUUAUGUGCCUGUGUAAUCGAUUAUAGAUUGGCUGUAAUCGCUUACCAGUGAAAAAAUAGAAAUUUGUACUAAAAGUUCAAUGUUGGUCCCAUGCUUUAGUAGAGGCGCUCCCAAGUGCGUGCUUGGUCAUAAGUUGGUGAGAUAUUUUGAAGUUAUUGUUUCAUGUUUGCUAUUUUAGAUGGGUGAGACUUUAAUGGUCAUGAGUGGUCUUUAGUGCAUCAAUGAACAUGUUAGGUCAUUGAAUUGUUCAGAAAAAAUGUCAUUUAGGAGCUUUCAUUUAAGUUAGAUGAGCUCCAUAAGCAUGUCUUGCCUAAAACUGGACUUUCAUUCACAAUGAACAUGACAAAUUUCGGUUAUGAAUGACAUUGAAAUGGAAUAAAAAUUGUUCAUAAACUCAAAAUUGAUGAAUGAUCAACAACGAUGACUAACAACAAUUCAAAUGAAAAUGACAAUAAAAAAGGGAAUAACCUACAUCUUUAUUAACAUUCAAAAUAUUGAUUACAAUACAAUUACAUUUACAUAUGUCUACAUUGAUCUGCUACUGCCAAUAAUCACUACAUACAAAAUUCACUCAUGUUUUGGACUAUGUCCAAUGUACGGGGUUCUAUAAGCUUUAUUCUUGUAACACUUUCGUCAUCAUUCCUUCAUAAGGUUAUUUUUGACGUGUUGAUUUUUUUUUCCUUCAAAUCCUCUCCAAUUGUAUUAGCUUAUGCUUUUACAGAGAAGUAACAAAUUUCUUUGCUAGAUGCACCAAGAUCAUCAAUGAACUGAAAUUUAACAAAAAUUACAAUUGUAUAAAACCAUUAAAGGAAAUUCUAACAAUAAAGGAAAGGGCAAAAACCGAAACGAGAUAGGGGAAAACCAAAGGUCAUAUGGCAUAUACCUUGCUCUCACCGGACAAUUCCAUUUCGCGCAAUACAAUGUACAUAAUCAAACCAUAAAGGUGAGACCUUGAACAAACAAAAGAGAGCUUUCUUGUAUCAAGUACCCAAAAACCCAAAAACCCAAAACGAUUAUAUGAAGGUUGUAAUCAAUUACUAGUAGAUAAAUGUGAUAAAUGCUUGAUUGUUGGCAAUAACUAUUGUCCAAUUAGUUGGGCACUUUUUGCUUCACCUGUUCAUUAAAGAUUCGUAACAAAAGUCAAGUAGAACUGAAUACUUACGAAGCAAAAAGUAGUCCAAUAAGGACAAAUAUCAAUAGCAAACUAUAUACAAUAAAUUUAAACACACUUAAACUUGACAGGGAGAUUUAUGAACGGAUCAUUUAUUACUAAAACUUAAUCCGAAUAAUGGCACUUUGAGAAUUUUAUAUUGUGAUCAUAAUCCAAAAAUUCAAAGCUUUAAGUUUUGAAUCAAGUUCUAUUGAUAUUCAAGUCAUCCAACAUCACAAACAAGCUUAAUAUUAAACAUAGAAAUUUAAAAUUUCACAUGAUUUUUCCAAGAAUUAGUAAUUGACUUAAUAAAUAACAUCCAACAAAUGUCAAAACCCAUAACCCAAAUCGAAUAUGGGACAAAGACAAAGUUCAUACCUUGUUUGAAAAACCAAUGUAACUUGACAAACCGAUCGCACAAAAAAGGUAAGAACUUUGACAAAAUCGACACCCAAUGAGACAAGCAUAAUCUCGAACUUAAGAGAGAAACCCAACGACGAAGGAAAUUCCUCAAGAUCCACAGAGAUUGCUCAAUCACCACUUCAACGCCUUCAAAAACUGGAGACAGAGAAGGAGAAUCUGAAAUAUGGAGAGAGAGAACUUCAAAGCAAAACGAAAACCUAAAAUGAAGAGAGAGACUUUCCAAGGAGAAAGAGUGCUGAAAAGGAACGAGGAUGUUUUCGGAAUAACAAAAAGUGUCCCUUUUCAAAUAUUUUUUUAAUAAAAAAAAUAUAAAAAAAUGGACCAAUACAACGCUGACACAUGGCGUUGUCAAACUCGUUGUCAAAUUCGCGUUGUUAAUAUAUCGCGAUCCUUAUUUUAUUUCUAAAUUUGUUGUAUGCUGAUUUCUAUUACUGAAAAAUGGCAAAUGCAUCUGUUGCAUAUAACAACCAAUAAAUAUUAUCUCAGAGAGAUCUCUGAAAUAUAUGAUAACUAUCACAAUUCAUAAUUCAAUUAAACAACAAAGUCAAAAAGAAUAUAAUUUUUUUUUUGUAGUCUAUCAAACAAUUGAUGUAUAAAAGGAAAUUAACAUAAAAUAUUUACAAAUGUUAAUACUAUUAUAUAUAUAUAUAUAUAUAUAUAUAUAUAUAUAUAUAUAUAUAUAUCAAUUUCAAUUUUUUCUUAAAAUCAACUUUCAAUAUUACUUAAAUCCUAUUUCUAGUAAUUUUAAGUUUAUGAUAUAAUUCAUCAGAUUUUAAUUUCUUAAAUAUUCAAGAAGCAAUUAUACAUUAAAUUAAGAGUCUUAAAAUCAUUAAGAAAACAUGUUUUAUCCUUAGAUACAACAUUAAGUAUUAAUUUCAAUUCUAAAUCUAAAAGACAUUUUUUAAAUUUUUUAAUGUUUCAAUAAUCACAACUAAAUCAUGAAUAACCAAGUAUGGAAGACCAUAUGAGAUAAGGAAGCCGAGAUUUUGACACUCUUUGUUUGACACAACUUUAACAACGUCACGUGUCAGCCUCUGAUUGGGCGAUUUUUUUUUUAAAAAAAAAACCAACAAUGUGACGUCAUUUAUGAGAUGCAAAUUUGAAAAUUUUGUUUCCAUCUAUGCCCUUGCCCAGAUUCAUGUGAAUGGAAUUCUCUUUCUUUGCUGCUUCAUCAGAAAAAGAGUUCCUCCGAUAACUUCUUUCUCUUCGCCAACGCUCUAUGGAAAUCGUUUUGGGCUUCUUUUUCGCCAUUUGAUUGUCGUCGUUGUGGUUGCAGUGGUGGUCUUCCUUAUCGGUGUGGGUGUGGCGGUGAUUGGCUCUUUUCGUUCUUGGUGUGUUCGUGUUGCGAAAUGACGAGUUCUUCUACCAGGGUAAGGGCGUUGUACUGUGGGUGUUGUUGUUUAUGGUGUGGUGUAUGGAGUUUGGGUUUUGUAUGUCUUUUAUGAUUUAGGGUUUUUAAGUUUGGGUUUUUGCAAUGUGUGUGCAGUUGACGAUUCGUCACUCAGUUUCCACAAAGUUCAUCUCUGGUUUGAACAAACGUUUGAGUAAGGAGCACCGUUCAUUGGUUGCCGACACUCCGUUUGGGUGGUUUUUAGAUUUGACUGGUAAUGUUAAAGUUGGUAGGAAAAUGUUGAGUGAGUUAGUGUUUAAAUGGGUGGAUUCAAGUAGUGGUUUUUUAAUUGCAGAGAAACUUGUGCCUAUAAAUGAGAAAGAUUGUUUUUUAGGUUUGGGUUUGAGUUUAGAUGGGAAAGAGAUAGAUUUAAAGGAAAAAAUGGGACGAAGUAGAUGUGUGAAAUACAUUGGCAAUAAAACAAAAAAUUUGAAUUUGCUAUACAAAUGUAUGAUGAAGAAAGGAAAAAGCAUUCCUUGUGCUCCUUUUUGUAGCUUGUACAUAUUGCUUGGUAUUUGUGAGAUAUUAAUUCCACAGCGUAAUGGGAGAGUGUUUCCCAUAUUAUUUGAAAUUGUUGAUAAUUUAAAUGAUUUGGGAAAAUAUUGCUGGGCUAGUUUAAUGUAUAGAUUUUUGGUACGUGGUUUGAACAAAGCUUCAGAUGCAUUGAAGAAAGGAAAAGCCACAACGAACGUUUAUGUCGAUGGUUGUAUUUACAUGUUGCAAGUAAGUUAUGUUUAUUCAUUUUCAAUGUGGAAAUUCAAUUUGGUCUUGUUGCUUCCAUUCAGUUUUUGAGUAACAGUUAACAUGAUAUAUUUUUGUGUAGGUUUGGUUUUUUGAGAAAUUGAUUCCUCCCAAAGGUGCUAUAGAAAAAAAUCCAAGAAUAUUGCAUUGGAUGAAUUUAAAAUUGGGAGACAACCUAGUAACAGGAGCUUUGGAAACUGGUGUGGUAAGUUGUUUGAGUGAUUAUUGUUAUUAUAAAUAAAUGUGUUCUUAGUAUGGUUUGAAUUGUUGAAUUUCAGGUUAAUGUUGAUGUUGAUGUUGAUCUUGGUACAAUGAAGGAUGAGAAUGACUUGAAGGAUCAAGCAAGAGGAAAAAAUAAAGAUGAAAAGGCAUCAACAAAGAAGGAACUUAAGAAAAAUCGCAGAGAGCGGUUUUUGGAAAGUUUACUUGAGCAACAAAGUCUUGUUGCAGAACUUAAAAGGAGGGUUCUUGUGUUGGAGGAAGAGGUGGCAUUUGAGAAACGUAGACGAAGAAGACCACAAAAUGGUGGACACAAUGUGGCACAUGAAGAACUGUCCAUAUCCCAUGGAGGCAUGAGUCCG